UAUAUACUCCCUCCGUCCAACAAAAGAUGUCUCAACUUUCACUAAAUUUGAAUGCAUCUAUACACUAAGUCAUGUCUAGAUAAAUCCAAAUUUUAACAAACUUGAGACAUCUUUUGUUGGACGGAGGGAGUAUAAU
rnacentral:pre_miRNA from 1 species